rnacentral:rRNA from 1 species
CAACCGUAAACUAUGCGCGUUAGGUGUAUCGGUGACCACGAGUUACCGAGGUGCCGAAGGGAAACCGUGAAACGUGCCGCCUGGGAAGUACGGUCGCAAGGCUGAAACUUAAAGGAAUUGGCGGGGAGGCACCACAACAGGUGGAGCCUGCGGUUUAAUUGGACUCAACGCCGGGAAGCUCACCGGAUAGGACAGCAGAAUGAUUGCCGGGCUGAAGACCCUGCAUGACUAGCUGAGAGGAGGUGCAUGGCGUAGACGUCU